AUGGUCUGUAGAAAGGCUCCUGUGUUGCUGAACUUCUCCAGCAUAGGUGCAGCCUUGUACUAGGCAGCUCAACCCUGACCUAGAGUGUGCCAGGGACUUCAGGUUGCCCUAGGGCUUUGAACUUACAAUAACAGGUGUGAACAUUCUAGCAGCAAUUUGAUGAUAAUGUAUGAUACUGCAAACAAAC
rnacentral:snoRNA from 12 species